rnacentral:rRNA from 1 species
GAUGAACGCUGGCGGCGUGCCUAAUACAUGCAAGUCGAGCGAACAGACGGGGGGUUUGCUCCGGUGACGUUAGCCGCGGACGGGUGAGUAACAUGUGGAUAACCCACCUAUAAGGCGGUGAUAACGUCGAGAAAGCGUAGCUAAUACCGGAUAAUAUAUUGAACCGCAUGGUGCAAUAGUGAAAUACCGUUUUGCUGUUAGUUAUAGGUGGAUCCGCGCCUCAUUAGCUAGUUGGUAAGGUAACGGCUUACCAAGGCAACGAUGCGUAGCCGAUCUGAGAGGAUGAUCGGCCACACUGGGACUGAGACACGGUCCAGACUCCUACGGGAGGCAGCAGUAGGGAAUCUUGCGCAAUGGGCGAAAGCCUGACGCAGCAACGCCGCGUGAGUGAAGAAGGUCUUCGGAUUGUAAAGCUCUUUUAUCAGGGAAGAAAAAAUGUGUAAGAAAAUAUGCACGUGUUGACGGUACCUGAAGAGAAAGCCCCGGCUAACUACGUG